CUCCGGUUGAUCCUGCCGGACCCGACUGCUAUCAGAGUGGGACUAAGCCAUGCGAGUCAACAUAGCAAUAUGUGGCAUACGGCUCAGUAACACGUAGUCAACAUGCCCAGGGGACGUGGAUAACCUCGGGAAACUGAGGAUAAACCGCGAUAAGUCACUACUUCUGGAAUGGGUAAUGACUCAAAUCUACAUGGCCCCUGGAUUGGACUGCGGCCGAUCAGGCUGUUGGUGAGGUAAUGGCCCACCAAACCUGUAACCGGUACGGGCUCUGAGAGGAGGAGCCCGGAGAUGGGCACUGAGACAAGGGCCCAGGCCCUAUGGGGCGCAGCAGGCGCGAAACCUCUGCAAUAGGCGAAAGCCUGACAGGGUUACUCUGAGUGAUUUCCGUUAAGGAGAUCUUUUGGCACCUCUAAAAAUGGUGCAGAAUAAGGGGUGGGCAAGUCUGGUGUCAGCCGCCGCGGUAAUACCAGCACCCCGAGUGGUCGGGACGUUUAUUGGGCCUAAAGCAUCCGUAGCCGGUUCUACAAGUCUUCCGUUAAAUCCACCUGCUUAACAGAUGGGCUGCGGAAGAUACUAUAGAGCUAGGAGGCGGGAGAGGCAAGCGGUAUUCGAUGGGUAGGGGUAAAAUCCGUUGAUCCAUUGAAGACCACCAGUGGCGAAGGCGGCUUGCCAGAACGCGCUCGACGGUGAGGGAUGAAAGCUGGGGGAGCAAACCGGAUUAGAUACCCGGGUAGUCCCAGCUGUAAACGAUGCAGACUCGGUGAUGAGUUGGCUUCUUGCCAACUCAGUGCCGCAGGGAAGCCGUUAAGUUUGCCGCCUGGGGAGUACGGUCGCAAGACUGAAACUUAAAGGAAUUGGCGGGGGAGCA
rnacentral:rRNA from 1 species